CGUCUGAAGUGAUGUUUAGCACUGGGCUCUGAAAUCAAUGGUGACAAAAGUGCAACGCUGCCCUUGACAAGGCAGAAUCUGAGCAGAUG